AUAUUGGGCGUAAGGGCUCGCAGGCGGUUUCUUAAGUCUGAUGUGAAAGCCCCCGGCUCAACCGGGGAGGGUCAUUGGAAACUGGGAAACUUGAGUGCAGAAGAGGAGAGUGGAAUUCCACGUGUAGCGGUGAAAUGCGUAGAGAUGUGGAGGAACACCAGUGGCGAAGGCGACUCUCUGGUCUGUAACUGACGCUGAGGAGCGAAAGCGUGGGGAGCGAACAGGAUUAGAUACCCUGGUAGUCCACGCCGUAAACGAUGAGUGCUAAGUGUUAGGGGGUUUCCGCCCCUUAGUGCUGCAGCUAACGCAUUAAGCACUCCGCCUGGGGAGUACGGUCGCAAGACUGAAACUCAAAGGAAUUGACGGGGGCCCGCACAAGCGGUGGAGCAUGUGGUUUAAUUCGAAGCAACGCGAAGAACCUUACCAGGUCUUGACAUCCUCUGACAACCCUAGAGAUAGGGCUUUCCCUUCGGGGACAGAGUGACAGGUGGUGCAUGGUUGUCGUCAGCUCGUGUCGUGAGAUGUUGGGUUAAGUCCCGCAACGAGCGCAACCCUUGAUCUUAGUUGCCAGCAUUCAGUUGGGCACUCUAAGGUGACUGCCGGUGACAAACCGGAGGAAGGUGGGGAUGACGUCAAAUCAUCAUGCCCCUUAUGACCUGGGCUACACACGUGCUACAAUGGACAGAACAAAGGGCUG
rnacentral:rRNA from 1 species